GGGAUGUUUAAAAAUAAUUGAAUCCAGAGGACUUUAACUUAGAAUUUGUGAACUUAAAAAAAAAUGGUAACUGCAUUUUAGUAGAAUUGACUUCUUUUAUAACAGUAUAUAUUUUAUUUUAUGCAUUUCAAAUACUAUUCUGAGGAGUCUAUAGACUUCACCAGAUUGCCAAAUCCUUUAAUCCAGCUGCCUCAUUUGACAGAGGAGGAUCCUGAUAUCCAGAGAGAGGUGAAAUAACUUGCCCAAGGUCAAAUAGCUAGGUAGCAGCAGAGGUAGGAUUCGAAUCCUGAUCCUUUGACUUCCAAUCCAGUCCUGUGACUUGUCAGUGUAGUUGGAAAUGGCUCAGACCCAUGGCCCCAGAGUUCUGGGCUCUGCUCACUAGUUUACGGUGUGACCACAAUUCUCCCUUUUCACUCAGACUGCACUCAUAUUAUUGUUAAAAUGUUGACUUUCCGGAUAGGAAUCAGAGGUGGGGGAGGGUGGGAGUAUCCUUACAGCAACUUGGCCUCGGGAUGCCGGCCAGCGUCUUAAGACAAGAGAGCUCUGCUCAGCUUUAGGGCUUUUGCAGAGUCACCUAAGGUGAAGUCAGAUGAUUCAGCUCUUUUCCUGGCUGCCUUCCCCUCUGAGCCAGUGCACAGACAUUCACCCUUGACAAAGCUCUCCCUUCCCAAGAUUCCAAGCAGCCCCCUACCCACCCGCCGCUGGCAGGACGCCGCCUGGCCUCCUGCUCCAUAACAGGAUCCAUGGCUGACUGUCUCAGCAUAUGCAAGUUUCCAUCCCGUUCAGCUCCCUAGAUUUCGCAUACAGCAAACUCCGCCAGGCAGAUUGUAGAAAUGAACGGCCAUCUCUGUCCAACUGUUCGGAACGGGACUCUCUUCCCUGCUUGCCUGGAGGCGCAUGGCUGUCCUGAGAAUUUGGAUGAAAUCAUUCCACUCAACUUAUUUCAGAUCUCACCUCAUCUAGCAAUCCAGAAUAGAGGUAUUGCUGUGACAAGGGUCAAAGCUAGCAACUUUGGGUCCAACUUUGACAGACAACAGGAAACAUGCCCAGGCUGAACAGCAUGAAUGAGGUCCUCAAAGCAGCUCAGUUGCUCAUCAGUGGUGGCAAAAAAACCCCUGAAAAUUGAAGGGAUAUGAAUCAUUGGGUUAUCACCUGGAAAAUGGCUAAACAAGUAAUGGAAUAUGACUGUGAGGGAAUACUACUACACCAUAAGAAAUGAAAAGCAGUUUAAUUUUGGAAAAAAUGCAAAGACACAAGAAAUUAUGAAGAGUGAAACAAGCAGAAACAAGAGAACAUUGAGUACAGCAACAGAAAUACUGCUUGAAUAAUAGAUUGUGUAUAUCCAGAGAAAGGAGUGAUAGAAAUAAACAAGAUAUAGUAAUAUAUAUGUAUACA
rnacentral:lncRNA from 1 species